rnacentral:rRNA from 1 species
UACGAAGGGGGCUAGCGUUGUUCGGAAUUACUGGGCGUAAAGCGCGCGCAGGCGGUCUUCCAAGUCAGUGGUGAAAGCCCGGAGCUCAACUCCGGAACUGCCAUUGAAACUGUUGGACUUGAGUACGAGAGAGGUGAGUGGAAUUCCCAGUGUAGAGGUGAAAUUCGUAGAUAUUGGGAAGAAAACCGGUGGCGAAGGCGGCUCACUGGCUCGUAACUGACGCUCAGGCGCGACAGCGUGGGGAUCAAACAGG